GUGGUUCCUGCUCUUUGGGGUGGCAGGUACACUUCUUGCUAAAACAAAUCAUCUCGGUGUCUUUGAUUUUCCUUCUGUCCCUUAGGCUAUUGCUUUUGGAAGGGGGCCCUGGAUCUCCCUCCUGUUUGCUUGGGGGUAAACACAUGGUAUCAUGGGGUUAUGAACACAUGUUGCCUGUGCCAGAUAGCAACACUGCCUCCAGUCUUGAAAAUAAAGGUCCCCUGAAGACCUUGCCAAAGUGUGACAUCACCCUGGAGAAACUCAAGAAUGACAUGGCAGUGGUGAGUGGGAUGCUGGGGACCCCUAGGGGAACUGGGGCUCCCCCAAGAGCUCCUGGGAGCACCACAGCAGGGUCCUUCCAGGUCAGGGCGGCUGGGUGGGGACUGGGCCUGACCUGAGACCCUGCCCACCAGGCCUCCUCCAGGCCAGGUUUGCUGUGCUGGGUGGGAACAUGGGAGAGGUCACCCUCUGUCUACGGCCCCCAUGGGUGCCUCUGCCACCCGGCCCAGAGGAGUCAGGGGCUGUGGGGGUGGGGGAUUACACCAGGAUCGGCCAGCAUUGUCUGCACAAGGGUGGAGGCUGAGAGAGAGGCGUUGGGAAUCAGGCUGUGAGUGAGGACGGGCCUGGGGUGGGAAGGCCCCCUAAAUGAAGAACCCUCGGGUCCUGGGCUGCUGACCGUGCCCAUCUUGCCUCCAACCCACUGCCCCGGUGCCGCUGACCAAACAGCAGCACCUGUGCCAGCAGCUCCUGGAUGCCAUCCUGGCCAACAUCUGCUCACCUGUCUUCAGCCAUUCCCUGCGC
rnacentral:lncRNA from 1 species